rnacentral:lncRNA from 1 species
UGAUAUCGUUCUUUCUUUCUGAUAUAUUUAGACGUAGUGCAUGCUUACUAAAAUAACCAAGACUAAACUAAAUACUAUAACUACUAAAUUAUUCAAACCUCAGCUGACUCGGGCUGCAUAAGCCACACUCGUAAUUGGGCCUGUAACAAGUUUUUGUUCGUUGCUACCAAAGCCUAUCUACUUAUGCCAGCUCAUAAGGCCACUGGGAAUGAGAUAACAAUCUUUGGGUUGUUUGGAAGUGAAAAUAGUAUGUUUCUACAUGGUUUAGAACUUAAUAGCAUGGUUAUUUACUGCUAAAUUAUCUGAAACAAUUUCUGUAAGAUUUUGAGCUGUUCACACGUCAAAAAGAUUUUGCAAGGGCCUUCUGUUCGGCUGCUUCCAAAUUAUGAUUGGAUUGAGGUCAAAUGAAAACCUUGAAUUCCAGAAAUUUAAGAAAGUUUUUGAAGUAUUUACUAUGGUUUGUGAAAACAUUUGGAAAACACUAGGGAACAAAAAGAGUUCAUUCAAGUUUCAAUAUUAUAUUCUUUUACAAAUUCACCUAAUCAGAAGUUAUUUUCAUGUGUGCGUGUGUCUAGGUGUAUGCAUGUAUAAGCAUAUGUGCAGAUUUGUUGCAAAUCUUAUAUUAUUAUUUUGUUUUUUGUUUCCAACUUGACCUUCUGGCAUCUUUAUUCACAUUAACUCAAACAGCUAGAAUCGUCACCUUAAGAAAUGGAUGGUUAGAAAGAAAAGGAUGAAGACUGAAUAAAGGAGUAAAGGACAGUGUGCUUGUACCAAAAGUCUGAUACGUAGUUUCCUGUCUUAUGGUCUUUUGCCUCAUAAAUUGGUGAUGGCUCCUACCAACAUAUGAUGUAUUCUUUCCCGUAUGUUAUCAGCUCCAAGUUUCAGUUUUAACCAAAUUGGUCUUAACAAAAAAUUAAUUUGCUUGUGAAUAAGUGCAUGCUAUUAGUGAUAAUCUUUUUAGCUACCGAAACAGUGUCAUGCUGUCGUGCAGAACCGAAGUUCUUUAAACUGAGAUCUGAAUUUGACUUUGUUUGGUUGGCAGAAAAUUGAGAAGCAGGGAUCCAAUGAACAAUCCUCUUGAUAUAAGCUUCCUUGCUGGGAAACCCACUCUUAGAUUCGUGGGAAUUGUGUUGUUGACUCCUAGGAAUCUCACAAAAAGUUACCCGAUUUACUAGAUGAGUAUUGAUCUCAGAUCCGGAUGUGAGGCCUUUUGGAUUGUUUUUUGUUCUUGUUUUUGUUGUGUUAGGUUUGGAAUAAAUUCUGGCUUCAUAUUGAAAAACACCAUAUAUAAAAAAUUAUGAUACUGCAGUGAAUACUUGGUUUGAACUUUCAGAUUAUUUUGAAGUGACUUGAAAAGGGCGCAUAACAUAUUUGGCAUAUAUAUAUGUAUCUAUUUGUUGAGAUCUUAAAUGAAGAAAAAAUUUAAGAAU